AUAACAUUGUGACGUCAUAGAAAGUGUAUAGACCGUAAACCCAUCAUUAGAAGACAAGAAAAUGUAUAAUUUGUAUUCAUGUAUCAUUCAGCAAAAGACGUUAACGGACAAUAUGCACUAAAAAAUGCUAAACAAAAUGUCAAAGGCUGAUUAGCACCCGCCAAAAAAAUUUCAACACCAACAAUCAAAGGAUUGUGCUCACCCCAGAAAUAUCAACAAAGGAUGAUGCGCAUCCCCAAAACAUUCAAAAUCAACAAAGCAUCAUAGCAUGGUGCGCACCCACACAAAGUAUAUAAUAUCAAUAAGUAAAAUGGAGUGCACUCUAUAAACAUUCAACAUUAACAAUCAAAGGAUGGGUGUGCACCCCAAAGACAUUCAACAUUAACAAUCAAAUGAUGGUGCGUAAUAAAAAAAUUAAAAAAUUCAUUAUCAGUAACUAAAUGAUGGGGUGUACUCCAUAAACAUUCAACAUCGACCAAAGGACAGUGCACACCCCAAAAUCAUCUAACAUUAACAAUCAAAGAAUGGUGUGCACCUACAAAACAUUCAAUAUGAAUAAGCAAACGAUGGGGGUGCACUCCAUAAACAUUGAACAUCAACGAUCAAAUGAUGGGUGUGCACCCCAAACACAUUGAACAUCAAUAAUUAAAGGAUGAGUGCGCACCUCAAACAUAUUGAACAUUAACAAUCAAAGGAUGGGUGUACACACAAAUUGUUCAAUAUCAAUAGCAAAUGAUGGGGGAUCACCUCAAAACACAUUCAACAGCAGUAAUCAAAGGAUGGGUGCGCACCUCAAACAUAUUCAACAUUAACAAUCAAAUAAUGGUGUGCACCCACAAAACAUUCCAUAUGAAUAAAAAAAUGAUCGGGUGCACUUCAUAAACAUUCAACAUCAACAACCAAAGGAUGAUGCGCACCGACAAACAAUAUUUAAUAUCAAUAAGUAAACAAUGGGGUGCGCUCUAUAAACAUUCAAAAUCAACAACCAAAGGAUGAUACGCACCCUAACAUAUUCAACAUCAACAAUCAAAGGAUGGUGUGCAACCCCAAAUAUAUACAAUAUCAGCUAAUUAAGAAAGAAUGGUGCACACCCAAAACAAUUUUAAUAUUAGUAAGCAAAUGAUGGUGUGCACACAAAACACAUUCAACAUAACAAGCAAAGGAUGGGUGCGCACCCAAAGGACAUUCAACAUUAACAAUCAAAGGAUGGUGCGCAUUCACAAACAAUAUUCAAUAUCAAUAAGCAAACAAUGAGGUGGACUCCAUAAACAUUGAACAUCAACAAAAGGACGGUGCACACCCCAAAAUCACCCAACAUUAACAAUCAAAGGAUGCGUGUGCACCUCGAACACAUUAAACAUUAACAAUCAAAGGAUGCGUGUGCAUCCCAAAUAUAUUCAACAUCAACAAUCAAAGGAUGCGUGUGCACCUCAAAAUCAUUCAACAUAAGCCAUCAAAGGAUGGGUGUGCACCCUAAAAACAUUCAACAUCAACAAUCAAAGGAUGGGUGCGCAUCCCAAAUACAUUCAACAUCAACAAUCAAAGGAUGCGUGUGCACCUCAAAAUCAUUCAACAUCAGCCAUCAAAGGAUGGGUGUGCACCCUAAAAACAUUCAACAUCAACAAUCGAAGGAUGGGUGCGCAUCCCAAAUACAUUUAACAACAUUGUAUGUCAAUCAUCAUUACUACUUGGCGUAUGUAUAUUAGCUUUAUUGGUCACGGGCCGACCAAUGAAAAUAUUUUUGACAAUCAGGAAAACUGAAGUAAUAAAUGAAAAUUGUAUUUGUUA